rnacentral:rRNA from 1 species
UACGUAGGAUGCAAGCGUUGUCCGGAAUUAUUGGGCGUAAAGAGCGCGCAGGCGGUUUGAGGAGUCAGAUGUGAAAGAGGCCGGCUUAACCGGCAAGGGUCAUUUGAAACUGACAGACUAGAGUACAGCAGAGGAUAGCGGAAUUCCCGGUGUAGUGGUGAAAUGCGUAGAUAUCGGGAGGAACACCAGUGGCGAAGGCGGCUAUCUGGGCUGAAACUGACGCUGAGGCGCGAAGGCUAGGGUAGCAAACAGG